GGGCGCCCUCGGCUGCUGCCCGGGUCCCCGGUGCCCGGCCGCUCCGUCUGCUGCUGGCAGCCCGUAGGGACGAGCGCGGCGGCCGGGAGACGGUGCACCCCUCCCGCCGAAUGCAGGCUAUAGCCGGCAGGGCCGCCAGGUGACCUUCCCGGAGCCACCCAGCAAGCGGGUGCGGGAGCUGGGGCCGGGACCGAGUCGCCUGGCCCCGCCAGCUCUGCUGCCAACCGAGUCGCGGCCCGGGGCUCGAGAUGGAGCCCCAAGGGGGCCCUCCCCAGCCCUCUGGAGUGUGGCCUCCGAGCGAGGCUCGGCCCGACGACACACGGCCGCAUCCGCAUUUCCCAGUAGCGUGGGAGAUGGCUUCUUCGCAGAUACGGCCUGCCUUUCACAGAUGAGGGGCCGAGGCUGGUGACUUGGAGCCACCGAGAACCCGCAGGUCCAGACUCAGCCUAAUGGGUUUCUGACAGGCCUGCGAGAGUGGACUAGGGGCUUGGCCUCUUGCCAGCGACAGUACAGUGCUGGAAGUGAGCACCCAUAACCUCAGCCCAUUUAGGUGGAACUGCAACAGAAGGGCGGGAAAGCUGCCUGCAGUGUUGACCAGGUUUGGUUAAAAUACACUAUCAGGCUUCUCUCAAAAAACAGCAAAAUAGGUGACGAUUUUGUUGUCAUUGGACUUGGUGAAACUGGAAUCCUGGCAGGAUCACCAUCUUUUGAUGGGAUGCAAGAUUUUGUAGUUUACACCAUACUUGGACCAGCUGGGUUUCUUCCAUAGGACAACCGCACAUUAUAGGUGUCCUCCGAUUUUCUUAACAGGAUGAGCAGGGGCCAUGUCUGUCUUGCUCAUUACUGUAUCCUCCCCUGUACCUGACGCUCAGACGUUCAAAGAUUUUUGACUGGAUAAAUCAAAUUGUAUGGAUGGGGAGUUGAGACUUAAAAUGAUAUCUUUUGACACAGAGGCAGAGGCUCUUUUCAAUUCCAUUCAAUCUCCCAGAAUCAGAGCCUGUUAAAACCCAGGAAAGGGCCCUCCGAGGCCAUCCAGUCCAUUCCCCUCACUUCACAGAGAAGCUGUGAGCUGGACGCUUCACAAAACACAUCUCCUAGCCUUCAACCCAGUUUUAAUAUGGCGUCAUUCAUCCAUUGCAUCACCUAUGGAGUGUCCACCGUGCUUCUUCCUGGCUUGCCGUCCCACCUGCCCUUCAGCUUGUAAACCCAUCUGCUCUGAGAGGGUUGCCUGGACAGUUUGAAUGGACUCCUGGGUUCCAGAGUCAGCAUAUUUGUAUUUGAAUCCCAGUUUGCAUGACCUUAGGUGAGGAAACGUCACUUUCCCCAGAAAACAAGACAUGGUGAAGCUGCAGUUCUCCAGCUCUGACUCCAUCAUGUUCUACAGCCUCUUGAGGGCAGUCCUGUCUCUCUCCAUAGUGGAUGUACCCCUCAGGACUCUUUCAGUUGUAAGUGCCAGAAAUCCAACUCAAAAUUAAUGGCUUAUGUGGAAAAAAAAUUUAUGUGCCAGAAUAUGCACUGUGACAGAAAGGUUAAGGAGUUCAGGCACAGCUUGAUCCAGGUACUCAACUGAUGUCAAGAAUAUGUCAGUCUUGGGGAUCCCUGGGUGGCUCAGUAGUUUGGCACCUGCCUUUGGCCCAGGGCAUGAUCCUGGAGUCCCGGGAUCGAGUCCCGUGUCGGGCUCCCGGCAUGGAACCUGCUUCUCCCU